CACAGAGUUAGCCGGGGCUUCCUCUCACGGUACCGUCAGCCUCCCCAGGUGUUAACUGGAAAGGUGUUCGUCCCGUUCGACAGGAGUUUACAAUCCGAAGACCUUCAUCCUCCACGCGGCGUUGCGUCGUCAGGCUUGCGCCCAUUGCGAACAAUUCCCCACUGCUGCCUCCCGUAGGAGUCUGGGCCGUGUCUCACGUCCCAGUGUCGGCCGUCCGCCCUCUCGAGGCCGGCUACCGAUCGUCGCCUUGGUGAGCCAUUACCUCACCAACUAGCUAAUCGGACGCCGGGCCCUCUCCUAGCGCCAGGUCUUGCGAUCCCCGGCUUUCAUCGUCGCCUGUACCAAAGGCGCGACAAUAUGCGGUAUUAGCGUUCCUUUCGGAACGUUACUCCCCCACUUAGAGGUAGGUCACCCACGUGUUACUCACCCGUUUGCCACUCUACUCAGGGCCGAAGCCCCUUUCGCGUUCGACUUGCAUGCGUUAGGCACGCCCGCCAGCGUGAUUCUGAGCCAGGAUCAAACUCU
rnacentral:rRNA from 1 species